CCUACGGGGGGCUGCAGUGAGGAAUAUUGGUCAAUGGGCGGGAGCCUGAACCAGCCAAGCCGCGUGAGGGAAGACGGUCCUAUGGAUUGUAAACCCCUUUAGGCGGGGAGCAAUGCCGGGCACGUGUGCCCGGAGGGAGAGUACCCGCAGAAUAAGCAUCGGCUAACUCCGUGCCAGCAGCCGCGGUAAUACGGAGGAUGCGAGCGUGAUCCGGAUGUAUUGGGUUUAAAGGGUGCGUAGGCGGAGGUUUAAGUCAGCGGUAAAAUGUCCGGGCUCAACCCGGGCCGGCCGUUGAAACUGGGGAUCUUGAGUGGGCGAGAGGUAUGCGGAAUGCGUGGUGUAGCGGUGAAAUGCGUAGAUAUCACGCAGAACUCCGGUUGCGAAGGCGGCAUACCGGCGCCCGACUGACGCUGAGGCACGAAAGCGUGGGGAUCGAACAGGAUUAGAUACCCCUGUAGUC
rnacentral:rRNA from 1 species